GGGGAUAUAGCUCAGUGGUAGAGCGCUCGCUUAACAUGCGAGAAGGCUUGGGAUCGAUGCCCAGAAUUUCCA
rnacentral:tRNA from 1 species